AGGGUUUGAUCCUGGCUCAGGACGAACGCUAGCGGCAGGCCUAACACAUGCAAGUCGAACGGUAACAUGAGAGCUUGCUCUUGAUGACGAGUGGCGCACGGGUGCGUGAGUAACGCGUAUGCAACCUGCCUUUUACAGGGGGACAGCUUUCGGAAACGGAAAUUAAUACCCCAUAGUAUUUAUUUUUCACAUGAUUAAUAAAUUAAAGUUUCAGCGGUUGAGGAUGGGCAUGCGUAACAUUAGCUUGUUGGUAAGGUAAUGGCUCACCAAGGCAACGAUGUUUAGGGGGUCUGAGAGGAUGAUCCCCCACACUGGAACUGAGACACGGUCCAGACUCCUACGGGAGGCAGCAGUGAGGAAUAUUGGACAAUGGACGAAAGUCUGAUCCAGCCAUGCCGCGUGCAGGAAGACGGCCCUAUGGGUUGUAAACUGCUUUUAUAUAGGAAGAAAAUGUUCAACGUGUAGAGCACUGACGGUACUAUAAGAAUAAGCAUCGGCUAACUCCGUGCCAGCAGCCGCGGUAAUACGGAGGAUGCGAGCGUUAUCCGGAUUUAUUAGGUUUAAAGGGUGCGCAGGCGGGAUUUUAAGUCAGUGGUGAAAUCUCACAGCUCAACUGUGAAACUGCCAUUGAUAUUGGAAUUCUUGAGUAUAGUUGAGGUAGGCGGAAUGUGUAAUGUAGCGGUGAACUGCUUAGAUAUUACACAGAACACCGAUUGCGAAGGCAGCUUACUAUGCUAUGAUUGACGCUGAGGCACGAAAGCGUGGGGAGCGAACAGGAUUAGAUCCCCUGGUAGUCCACGCCGUAAACGAUGAUUACUCGUUGUUGGCGAUAUAUUGUCAGCGGCUGAGCGAAGGCAUUAAGUAAUCCACCUGGGGAGUACGAUCGCAAGAUUGAAACUCAAAGGAAUUGACGGGGGCCCGCACAAGCGGAGGAUCAUGUGGUUUAAUUCGAUGAUACGCGAGGAACCUUACCUGGGCUUAAAUGUAGAGUGCAUUAUUUGGAAACAGAUAUUUCCUUCGGGACGUUUUACAAGGUGCUGCAUGGUUGUCGUCAGCUCGUGCCGUGAGGUGUCGGGUUAAGUCCCAUAACGAGCGCAACCCUUAUCAUUAGUUGCCAUCGGGUCAUGCCGGGGACUCUAAUGAGACUGCCAGUGUAAACUGUGAGGAAGGUGGGGAUGACGUCAAAUCAGCACGGCCCUUAUGUCCAGGGCUACACACGUGUUACAAUGGUCGAUACAAAGGGCAGCUACCUGGUGACAGGAUGCUAAUCUCAAAAGUCGAUCUCAGUUCGGAUCGAAGUCUGCAACUCGACUUCGUGAAGUUGGAUUCGCUAGUAAUCGUAUAUCAGCAAUGGUACGGUGAAUACGUUCCCGGGCCUUGUACACACCGCCCGUCAAGCCAUGGAAGCUGGGGGUACCUGAAGUCUGUAACCGUAAGGAGUUGCCUAGGGUAAAACUGGUAACUGGGGCUAAGUCGAAACAAGGUAGCC
rnacentral:rRNA from 1 species